UGCAUCGGCCAGAAAUCGAACCUGGGCCGCCCGCGUGGCAGGCGAGCAUUCUACCACUGAACCACCGAUGG
rnacentral:tRNA from 1 species